UAGUUUUGCCCUUCCAGAACAUCUCAAUAUUGAGUCUUCCUAUUCAUCAACAUGGUAUGUCUCUCCUCUUAUUUACUUCUUUGAUUUCAUUUAUCAGAGAUUGGUAGUUUUCCUCAUAUACAUCUUAUAGGUAAUUUGUUAAUUUUUAUCUAAGUAUUCAUUUGUUUUGGGUGGUAAUGGCAGUGGUAUUGUGUUUGUAAUUUUAAGUUUCACAUGUUCAUUGCUGGUGUGUAAAAACAUUAAAGUCCAUGAGGUCCCAGAAUCAGAUACAAUUUAGUGACUGAACAACAGCAACAACAACAAAUUACUGACUUUUGUGUAUUAACCUUGUAUCCUUCAAUCAUCUACUUACUCUUUUUUUUUUUUGGCCAUACUACGUGGCUUGUGAGAUCUUAGUUCCCUGACCAGGGAUGGAACCCGGGCCUCCCAGAAAUGGAAGCACAAAGUCCCUAACCAGGGAAUUCCCCCAUUUAAAUACUUUCAAUUUAUAUAUGCCUUUAAUUUAAAGUGGAUUUCUUAUACACGACACAGAAUUGGGUCUUGCUUUUUGACCCACCCUGACAAUCUUUUUCUAAUUAGUGCAUUUAGAUCAAUGACAUUCAAAGUGAUUACUGAUAUAGCUUGAUUACUAUCAACCAUUGUUUUGGAAAAUUUAUUUAUUUAACUGCAUCAGGUUUUAGCUGAGGCACUAAGGAUCUUUCCUGGCAGCGAGUGGUCUUACUUGCCCUAUAACAUGUGGUAAAGAUUUUAGCUCCCCAACCAGGGAUUGAACCCUCGCCCCUGCGUUGCAAGGCAGAUUCCUAACCACUGGACCACUAGGGAGGCCCCUAUAAUAUUUUUAUCAUUUUCCACUUGUUGCUCUUAUUCUUUGUUCCUAUUUUUUAAUGGUUUUUAAUUGAAAUACAGUUAAUGUACAAUGUUAUAUUCAUUACUACUGUACAGCAAUGUGACUCAUUUAUACACAUAUAUUCUUUUCCAUAUUCUUUUCCAUUAUGGUUUAUCAAGUUACUAUUUUUGUAUACCACUCUUUCUGCCUUUUGUGAUUUUAAUUAAGCAUAUUAUAGUUUCAUUUUCUCUCAUUCAUAGCAUAUCAGUUG
ensembl:lncRNA